GGUUCGCCAUCACUGCUCUAGACUCGUCUUAAAAACAUGGCUUAGACAUCUGCAGAGUAGUUUAUUGCAAUGAGCUCUAUGUAAGACUGCCCUUGAAGACUAUCCAAAAGUUGCAGCUAGUCCAGAAUACAGAAUACAGUUAUGAGCACAUCUCUGCCGUGUGAACUGUGUUAGUGUGCUUUCGGGUGGAAUUCAAGGUACUAUGGGUCGCCUAUAAAGCCUUCCAAGGAGUUCAGAUAUUUGCAGGACCCCUUUUCCAUGGUUGUUUCUACCUAUCCCAGUUUCUCUGACCGGAGGAGCGUGCAAUGGAUCCUUCAGUUAAAGAAUGACAUCUUAUGGGACCCUGGAAGUAUGAUAUUUUGUUGUGGUGCCUGCACUCUGCAGCAUCAUACCACCUGAGAUAGAUUGGCCCGGGCUCUGCUAGCCCUUUGUAAACUGAUGAAGACCUGGAUGUGUUCCAGGGCCAGGAGAUUGACAGAAUAUUGCAGAGAUGAUUGCCAAAAAGAGAAUCCCAUCCAAAUAUCUCAACUUGGAGAAGUGAUAUUAGAAGGAAUCCAAGCAGUUUGUAUUAGUUUUCAUCUUUCUAAUUGUAUGUUUAAUAAAAUUACUAUAAAAACGACUUCCGGUUCCGGAUCCCGGCACUCGCAGCUGUGCGAGGAGACUGCUCUCUUCGCCAGCUGAUUUUCCGCUGCCUAUAGACCCUUAAUCAGGUCUAAAAGCUGCCUUGGAGGGGCGGCUACUGCUGAGGAGAUCCUCAUCCAUGACAGCUUCUUCCACAGACUGAGAUUGCUCCUUUGGACCGAUGGUGGAAAGAAUGGCCAGUAAAAUGGCCAUUCAUUUUGCCGCUGUAACCAGAAGUCAGAAGAACAUCUAAGCACAGGAACCACCGUGGCUGAGCCAGGUGAGACUUUUUUUCUGCCUUUCUUGGGUUUCUUUUUUCUUUUGUGCCUAUAAAGAGCACUUUUGAAAUGAUUUCCCUACUCUUAAGAAAAUGGCGUUUGUGAGUGUGGGAAAAAGAAGCUUAAAUGGACUGAAUUAAUUUAAAGUGAUUUUUUUCUAUUUUUUUUCCUUCACUUGGGGAGUCUUGGAAAAUUUUGUGACUAUUGAAUCUGCUAUUGGACUUGAAUUAUCCUUUUUUCUGUGUUUCCUGGUCUUGUUUAUGAGAUUCCUGGUCUCUGGGAGAAGAUUUUACAUUGUACUGAGGACAUCUUGUGGAAAAAGUUAAAAUUGCAACUUUCUCUUUUUUCUGAGGAUUAGACAGACCUUGACUUUCAGAUUACCAUAAAAGGAAAAAUACAAAGAAAAUUAACAGCUGUACUGGUGGGGGUGGACACUGAUUAAAUGUUCCCUGAACACAGCCUCUAC